UAAACAUGCACCAAAGCUCUGACCUCACGGAAAGAGUGCAUUUAUUCGAAGAAAACCAGGCGCUUUUUGCGAACCUGUUGACUCAAAGUAACUCAGCUGACCGAAUGUGCUAGUCACGUCGGCGUGUCUUUCAAGUAUCUGCCUUAUCAACUUUCGAUGGUAGUGUAUCUGACUACCAUGGUGGUGACGGGUAACGGAGGAUAAGGGUUCGACUCCGGAGAAGGGGCCUGAGAAAUGGCCACUACGUCUAAGGAUGGCAGCAGGCGCGCAAAUUACCCACUCUCGGAAUGAGGAGGUAGUAACGAGAAAUAACGAGGUGGUUCUCUACGAGGCCCACCAUCGGAAUGGGUAAAAUCUAAACCCUUUAACGAGUAUCUAUGAGAGGGCAAGUCUGGUGCCAGCAGCCGCGGUAAUUCCAGCUCUCAAAAUGCAUAGAAUUAUUGCUGCGGUUAAAAAGCUCGUAGUUGGAUCUGUGCCGCAGGACUCGGUCCACCCUUUGGGUGCGCACUGAGCUCCUCGGCUUUUCUGCUGGUUUUCUCGCCAUAGCCUUCACCGGUUGUGGCGGGUGGCUGGCGAUUUUACUUUGAACAAAUCAGAGUGCUCAACACAGGCGUUUCGCUUGAAUGUUCUUGCAUGGAAUAAUAGAAGAGGAUUUCGGUCCUAUUUUAUUGGUUUUAUAGGCUGAAAUAAUGGUUAAUAGAGACAAACGGGGGCAUUCGUAUCGCUGCGUGAGAGGUGAAAUUCUUGGACCGCAGCGAGACGGACUACAGCGAAAGCAUUUGCCAAGAAUGUCUUCAUUAAUCAAGAACGAAAGUCAGAGGUUCGAAGGCGAUCAGAUACCGCCCUA
rnacentral:rRNA from 1 species